GCCAACUGUUAAUGUCAGCAGUGAGUCAGAAGCAGCCUGGAAUAAAAUCAAGCGCUCCCUGGAAGGGUGGAGGAAGAGGGGGGCGGGGUUCCCGUUAACCGGGAAGGGGGUGCAAGGGGCACUUGUGACCUACAAGCUGAUCUCAGAGAGCUGCCGGUCGACGUCACCGGUCAGGAAACUGUGAGAGGAGGUCUGGUGCUGCGUUCAGGUUCCCGUGGGAAACACCGGCGAGCUUUGAGACGGUAAACACACGUGGUGACGCUCUCUGACUCUCACCUCAGCGACAGGUGAAACACACCUGCCCUCGCUGACUAGAAAACGCCGUUCUUAUGAGCUCCUUGAUGUUCCUCAACACAGAAACACCUGGAUCACGUGACCAUCAUACAGGCUUCUUGUAGCUUUGACUCAGAUACGUGAGAACACGAACAGAUACUCCGUCAGUACUCAGAUCCGUCACUUAAGGAAAAGCCCCAGCACCACGGCGAGCUGCAUCACAAGAACAAGUCAUUCACUCGAAAUCUGACUUAAGUAAAAAAGCAGCGAGCAGCUCCGCGCUGUCAUCAACCAAUCAUCACGCGUUUCCUGAUUCUGUGAAAGUCAGCUGGCACACACACACACACACACACACACACACACACACACACACACACACACACACCAUUACUGUAUGUGUGUGUGUUGUGGGGGAGUUAAACACCAAAAUUACCUUCAGGGAAAAAUCCAGCGUCAGUUUUCUCCAGAGAGCAGGACGCUCAUCUGUGGCGCCAACGUUUUCCUCUCCAACCCCCGACACACACACACACACACACACACAACCUUGUACUUGCAUCUUUGUGAGGACCGUCAUUGACAUAACGCCACAACUAAACGCUUAACCUUCACCCAGGUUUAACCCUCAAAAAGCCGUCUCUCUGAGUACUCAUUAUGCAUAUAUAUACAGUAUAUAUAUAUAAAUUAUAAUUAUUGAUGCAUUAAUGUUGCAGCUGGCGAAGGUGGAGCUCAUUUUAAUCCAUUUAUAUAUUGCUGAGUAACCUAAUCUAUAAUAAUAAAUCAUAAUUUAUUUGUUAGUACAAGUACAAAUACCUCAAAUCUGUACUUAACUACAGUACUCUGCUGGGAGGAGUACGCAGCCCUCUGUUCUGAACAUGGGAACUAUUCUAUUAUCUAUUAUCUAUUAUCAGUUAUUGAUUAGAUCUUGCAGGAGCCAAUCAGCAGCUCACGGACAGACCAGGUGCGUGGAGGCGGAGCCACGAGGGCCUGGUGUGUGAUCAGAGGUGCACCAGAGUUUCCUGGACCAGCUGAAUUUGCCUCAUGUGGACUGACGCCUCAAGGAUCAAAGCAGAGUCUGAAUACUUGUGUGAAUUUUGAUUUUUAACACUUUUCUAUUUUCUUUAUGAUGUGUUAUGUGUGGAGUUAACUGUCAAAAGUCAAAUAAAUCCAUUUUUAAUAAAAAUGUAUACGCAAUAAAGCGUGUAAAAAGUGUCUUUACGAGGCGUCCGAGCGUCUGUGCCGAUCACUGCCAGACGUUUUUCACACUUAAAGACACAUUGUGAUCAAAAUCAUUUUUAAGAUCAUUAUUACAUAAGGAGUUACAUUGUAUUUUAUACUGUACUUUCAUCACCAACCGGUAA